rnacentral:rRNA from 1 species
GAUGAACGCUGGCGGCGUGCCUAAUACAUGCAAGUCGAGCGAACGGACGAGAAGCUUGCUUUUCUGAUGUUAGCGGCGGACGGGUGAGUAACACGUGGAUAACCUACCUAUAAGACUGGGAUAACUUCGGGAAACCGGAGCUAAUAUCGGAUAAUAUUUUGAACCGCAUGGUUCAAAAGUGAAAGACGGUCUUGCUGUCACUUAUAGAUGGAUCCGCGCUGCAUUAGCUAGUUGGUAAGGUAACGGCUUACCAAGGCAACGAUGCAUAGCCGACCUGAGAGGGUGAUCGGCCACACUGGAACUGAGACACGGUCCAGACUCCUACGGGAGGCAGAAGUAGGGAAUCUUCCGCAAUGGGCGAAAGCCUGACGGAGCAAAGCCGCGUGAGUGAUGAAGGUCUUCGGAUCGUAAAACUCUGUUAUUAGGGAAGAACAUAUGUGUAAGUAACUGUGCACAUCUUGACGGUACCUAAUCAGAAAGCCACGGCUAACUACGUG